rnacentral:tRNA from 1 species
GACUUAUUAGCUCAAUUGGAUAGAGUGUUGUGCUAAUAACGCGAAAGUUAGAGGUUCAAUUCCAUACAAAUUAUGAGUUCA